rnacentral:rRNA from 1 species
CACGUAGGGGACGAGCGUUGUCCGGAUUCAUUGGGCGUAAAGCGCGUGUAGGCGGUUUCUUAAGUCUGAUGUGAAAGCCCUGGGCUCAACCCAGGAAGUGCAUUGGAUACUGGGAAACUUGAAUACGGGAGAGGGUAGUGGAAUUCCUAGUGUAGGAGUGAAAUCCGUAGAUAUUAGGAGGAACACCGGUGGCGAAGGCGGCUACCUGGACCGAUAUUGACGCUGAGACGCGAAAGCGUGGGGAGCAAACAGG